rnacentral:rRNA from 1 species
UCGAGCGACACAAGGGAGCUUGCUCCCGGAUGUUAGCGGCGGACGGGUGAGUAACACGUGGGUAACCUGCCUGUAAGACUGGGAUAACUCCGGGAAACCGGAGCUAAUACCGGAUAGUUCCUUGAACCGCAUGGUUCAAGGAUGAAAGACGGUUUCGGCUGUCACUUACAGAUGGACCCGCGGCGCAUUAGCUAGUUGGUGGGGUAAUGGCUCACCAAGGCGACGAUGCGUAGCCGACCUGAGAGGGUGAUCGGCCACACUGGGACUGAGACACGGCCCAGACUCCUACGGGAGGCAGCAGUAGGGAAUCUUCCGCAAUGGACGAAAGUCUGACGGAGCAACGCCGCGUGAGUGAUGAAGGUUUUCGGAUCGUAAAGCUCUGUUGUUAGGGAAGAACAAGUGCGA